rnacentral:rRNA from 1 species
UACAGAGGUCUCAAGCGUUGUUCGGAUUCAUUGGGCGUAAAGGGUGCGUAGGCGGCGCGGUAAGUCGGGUGUGAAAUCUCGGAGCUUAACUUCGAAACUGCAUUCGAUACUGCCGUGCUUGAGGACUGGAGAGGAGACUGGAAUUUACGGUGUAGCGGUGAAAUGCGUAGAUAUCGUAAGGAAGACCAGUGGCGAAGGCGGGUCUCUGGACAGUUCCUGACGCUGAGCACGAAGGCCAGGGGGAGCAAACGGGA